rfam:Felis catus isolate Cinnamon breed Abyssinian chromosome C2, whole genome shotgun sequence.
GCCUGGGUGGCUCAGCCGGUUGGGCAUCCGACUUCGGCUUGGGUUGUGAUCUCGCGGUUUGUGGGUUCGAACCCCACCUCAGGCU